rnacentral:tRNA from 1 species
GCCUUCGUGGUGUAGUGGUCAGCACGCUCGACGCAUAACCGAGAGGUCCAUGGUUCGAUUCCCGGCCAGGGCG